rnacentral:rRNA from 1 species
AUUGAACGCUGGCGGCAUGCUUUACACAUGCAAGUCGGACGGUAACAGGCCGCAAGGUGCCGACGAGUGGCGAACGGGUGCGUAAUGCUUCGGAAUGUGUCCAGUCGUGGGGGGUAACUACUCGAAAGAGUAGCCAAUACCUCAUACGAGCUAAGGAUGAAAGCGGGGGACCGUAAGGCCUCGCGCCAGUGUAGCGGCCGAUGUCAGAUUAGUCAGUUGGUGAGGUAAAGGCUCACCAAGUCAACGAUUUGUAGCCGAUCUGAGAGGAGGACCGGCCACACUGGGACUGAGACACGGCCCAGACUCCUACGGGAGGCAGCAGUGGGGAAUUUUCGACAAUGGGCGCAAGCCUGAUCCAGCAAUGCCGCGUGAGAGAAGAAGGCCUUCGGGUUGUAAAAUGCUUUUGUAAGGAACGAACCAACUCUGGUUAAUACCCGGAGCUAAUGACGGUACCGUAAGAAUAAGCACCGGCUAACUACGUG